rnacentral:misc_RNA from 1 species
GAUGAAGAACGUAGUGAAAUGCGAUAAGUAAUGUGAAUUGCAGAAUUCAGUGAAUCAUCGAAUCUUUGAACGCACAUUGCGCCCGCCAGUAUUCUGGCGGGCAUGCCUGUCCGAGCGUCAUUUCAACCCUCAAGCCCCCGGGCUUGGUGUUGGAGAUCGGCGAGCCCCCCGGGGCGCGCCGUCUCCCAAAUAUAGUGGCGGUCCCGCUGUAGCUUCCUCUGCGUAGUAGCACACCUCGCACUGGGAAACAGCGUGGCCACGCCGUAAAACCCCCCACUUCUGAAAGGUUGACCUCGGAUCAGGUAGGAAUACCCGCUGAACUUAAGCAUAUCAAUAAGCGGAGGA